rnacentral:rRNA from 1 species
AACGACCACUCAGGGCCGGAAAGUUAUCCAAACUCGGUCAUUUAGAGGAAGUAAAAGUCGUAACAAGGUCUCCGUUGGUGAACCAGCGGAGGGAUCAUUACAGAGCUGCAAAACUCCCUAAACCAUCGUGAACGCUACCUAGACCGUUGCUUCGGCGGGCGGCGCCCUCGCGCGCCCCCCCUGGGGCCCGCACCGCGGGCGCCCGCCGGAGUACACCAAACUCUUGAUAUGUUAUGGCCACUCUGAGUCUCCUGUACUGAAUAAGUCAAAACUUUCAACAACGGAUCUCUUGGUUCUGGCAUCGAUGAAGAACGCAGCGAAAUGCGAUAAGUAAUGUGAAUUGCAGAAUUCAGUGAAUCAUCGAAUCUUUGAACGCACAUUGCGCCCGCCAGCAUCCUGGCGGGCAUGCCUGUUCGAGCGUCAUUUCAACCCAUCAAGCCCACGGCUUGUGUUGGGGACCUGCGGCUGCCCGCAGCCCUGAAAACCAGUGGCGGGCUCGCUAGUCACACCGGGCGUAGUAGCAUACGACCUCGCUCAGGCGUGCUGCGGGUUCCAGCCGUAAAACGACCUUCACAACCCAAGGUUGACCUCGGAUCAGUAGGAGGACCCGCUGAACUUAAGCAUAUCAAUAAGCGGAGGAAAAGAAACCAACAGGGAUUGCCCUAGUAACGGCGAGUGAAGCGGCAACAGCUCAAAUUUGAAAUCUGGCUUCGGCCCGAGUUGUAAUUUGCAGAGGAAGCUUUAGGCGCGGCACCUUCUGAGUCCCCUGGAACGGGGCGCCAUAGA